rnacentral:rRNA from 1 species
ACGGGAGGCAGCAGUCGGGAAUAUUGCGCAAUGGAGGAAACUCUGACGCAGUGACGCCGCGUAUAGGAAUAAGGUUUUCGGAUUGUAAACUAUUGUCGUUAGGGAAGAAAAAAGACAGUACCUAAGGAGGAAGCUCCGGCUAACUAUGUGCCAGCAGCCGCGGUAAUACAUAGGGAGCAAGCGUUAUCCGGAAUUAUUGGGUGUAAAGGGUGCGUAGACGGAGGAGCAAGUUAGUUGUGAAAUCCCUCGGCUUAACUGAGGAACUGCAAAUAAAACUACUUCCCUUGAGUGUCGGAGAGGAAAGUGGAAUGCCUAGUGUAGCGGUGAAAUGCGUAGAUAUUAGGAGGAACACCAGUUGCGAAGGCGACUUUCUGGACGAUAACUGACGUGGAUGCACGAAAGUGUGGGGAGCAAACAGGAUUAGAUACCCUGGUA